UAGGGAAUCUUCCGCAAUGGACGAAAGUCUGACGGAGCAACGCCGCGUGAGUGAUGAAGGUUUUCGGAUCGUAAAGCUCUGUUGCCAGGGAAGAACGUCCGUUAGAGUAACUGCUAACGGAGUGACG
rnacentral:rRNA from 1 species